GGGGGCGAACGGUAUUGACAGGGUGAAUGGGGUGAAAGAGGGCAUACCGAGGGUCCUGGCCACCUCGUUAAUCCGACCAUGAGAAAAAAACAUCCUGCAUAUACAGGAUACGCACUGGCUGCAUAAAUAAAUGCAGUCACGUCUGCCCGGGAUUUGCCCGGCCCGGAACAGGCGUCAUAAAGGGCAAAACCCUAUCAUUCCUUAGCCUUUGGGUUUGAUAGUGGUUCCUUAAAAGGCUUGCCCUUAUCAACCUGUCCUUUGGUUAAGAUAAGGGGAGAUUCAUAAAAGGAAUAAGUAUGUAGUCCUCUUCACUGAAGCACACUGGACGCGGGUUCGAUUCCCGCCGCCUCCACCA
rnacentral:tmRNA from 1 species